GAUAAACGCUGGCGGCAUGCCUAACACAUGCAAGUCGAACGGAGCGCCUUGGAAGGAGACUUCGGUCAACGGAAGAGGAGGCUUAGUGGCGGACGGGUGAGUAACGCGUGAGGAACCUGCCUCAGAGAGGGGGAUAACACACCGAAAGGUGUGCUAAUACCGCAUAACAUAUGAGAGGGGCAUCCCUUUCAUAUCAAAGAUUUAUUGCUCUGAGAUGGCCUCGCGUCCAAUUAGCUAGUUGGUGAGGUAACGGCCCACCAAGGCGACGAUUGGUAGCCGGACUGAGAGGUUGAACGGCCACAUUGGGACUGAGACACGGCCCAG
rnacentral:rRNA from 1 species